AGAGUUUGACCCUAUGACCAGUCAUCCUGUGGGAAACUCUAUGGAGACGCAGACUACUUGGAAGAGAGGCACCGCCACCGAUUUGAGGUGAGGAUUCCAGCUUGCUGGUACUCUGGAAAGAUAGUGAGCUGAGAGACCAGCAGAAUUAUUUUUCAUGCCUCAACAGGUGAAUCCAGUCUGGAAAAAGUGUUUGGAAGAACAAGGCUUGAAGUUUGUUGGCCAAGAUGUUGAAGGAGAGAGAAUGGAAAUUGUGGAGUUAGAAGAUCAUCCCUUUUUUGUUGGGGUUCAGUACCACCCUGAGUUCCUGUCCAGACCUAUCAAGCCCUCCCCACCAUACUUUGGCCUCCUUCUGGCUUCUGUGGGGCGGCUCUCACAUUACCUCCAGAAAGGCUGCAGGCUCUCGCCCAGGGACACCUAUAGUGACAGAAGUGGAAGCAGCUCCCCUGACUCUGAAAUCACCGAACUGAAGUUUCCAUCAAUAAAUCAUGACUGAUCUUGUAGCGGAUGAUUCUUCAAGAGACCCUUCAAACUUGGGUAGAGUUUACAGCUCUGACUUUACACUCGGCUUUGGACACUUUCUUUAAAUUAUGUUUUUAUUA
rnacentral:sRNA from 1 species